rnacentral:rRNA from 1 species
AGCUCCAAUAGCGUAUAUUAAAGUUGUUGCAGUUAAAAAGCUCGUAGUUGGAUCUCGGGUACUAGUAUGUGGUACGCUUUACUGCUGUUACUACAUGUCUGGUCCUAAUCAAUCGGUUGGCCGUUGAUGCCCUUUAUUGGGUGUUUUCGGUAGCCGGUACGUUUACUUUGAGAAAAUUAGAGUGCUUAAAGCAGGCUAUACGCCUGAAUAAUGUUGCAUGGAAUAAUAGAAUAGGACCUCGGUUCUAUUUUGUUGGUUUUGUAGAGCAUUGAGGUAAUGAUUAAUAGGGACAGACGGGGGCAUUCGUAUUGCGGUGUUAGAGGUGAAAUUCUUGGAUCGCCGCAAGACGAACAACUGCGAAAGCAUUUGCCAAGAAUGUUUUCAUUA